UUUGGAGUGAGCUUAGUAGAACAAAAGAGAUAUUUGAAUUGUAAGGGCAGCUGCCGCUAGGACGGCGGCAGCAGUGGUCACUUGAAACAGGACGUUGAAUGUGCCACGGUGCCCUUACAACCAAAUAUCUCUUUUUAUGUUCUACUUUGCAAACGGAAUAU
rfam:Pseudobutyrivibrio xylanivorans DSM 14809 genome assembly, contig: EJ90DRAFT_scaffold00003.3